AACGAACGCUGGCGGCAGGCCUAACACAUGCAAGUCGAACGGGCGUAGCAAUACGUCAGUGGCGGACGGGUGAGUAACACGUGGGAAUAUGCCUUUCGGUUCGGAACAACUCGGGGAAACUCGUGCUAAUUCCGGAUACGCCCUUACGGGGAAAGAUUUAUCGCCGAAAGAUUAGCCCGCGUUGGAUUAGCUAGUUGGUGAGGUAACGGCCCACCAAGGCAACGAUCCAUAGCUGGUUUGAGAGAACGACCAGCCACACUGGGACUGAGACACGGCCCAGACUCCUACGGGGAGGUAGCAGUGGGGAAUCUUGGACAAUGGGGGAAACCCUGAUCCAGCCAUGCCGCGUGAGUGAUGAAGGCC
rnacentral:rRNA from 1 species